AAAAACAUCGCCUCUUGAAUAAAAUAUAAGAGGUCCAGCCUGCCCAGUGACCACUAGUUCAACGGCCGCGGUAUCCUGACCGUGCGAAGGUAGCGUAAUCACUUGUUCUUUAAAUGAGGACUAGUAUGAAUGGCAUCACGAGGGUUUUACUGUCUCCUUUUUCUAAUCAGUGAAACUGUUCUCCCCGUGAAGAAACGGGGAUGAAUAUAUAAGACGAGAAGACCCUAUGGAGCUUUAAAUUUUAUUUCAAUUGCUUUAUUACACUACCAGUCCUGACCUCUUACACUUAUUUCAAGCAUGAUGAUAGUAAAUUUUAGGUUGGGGUGACCACGGAGUAUAAAAAAACCUCCGCAUUGAACCUAGGCCUUAGCCUUGAACAAAGAGCUACAACUCCAAGUACUAAUACAUUAACAUUCAUUGACCCAAUAUUUUUUGAUCAACGAACCAAGUUACCCUAGGGAUAACAGCGCAAUCUACUUUGAGAGCCCCUAUCGACAAGUGGGUUUACGACCUCGAUGUUGGAUCAGGGUAUCCCAGUGGUGCAGCCACUACUAAAGGCUCGUUUGUUCAACGAUUAAAACCCUACGUGAUCUGAG
rnacentral:rRNA from 1 species